rnacentral:lncRNA from 1 species
CCUGAAGCCCUUUUACUUUCUAACACUUCUAUAAUAAAUUUCCUAUAUUAAAUCCCUUUCUGAAUGAAAUACCUAGAUUAGAUUGUUUUCCAGGCUGCACCUGAAACAUACAGAUAUGACAUCAAAAAAAGAAGUUUGGAGUGUCUGCUCCAUGUUGGAUAAAAAAACUAAAUAAAAUCCUGGGAAAUGUGAAGAAUGCCAAAGAAAUGGAAAAAUGAGGACAGAAAAGAAUACUACUACCUGGUUUCUGUGCCCAUAGGUCAAGCUGGAAAACAUUUUUCCAUAAAACCACGUGCAAUUUUAUGACACAGGUGAAAGAGUAGCCCAAAUCCACAAGUUUGGCUUUUUAUCCCAGUAUGUUGGAUGAUUUCCACAAAAAUCUUUCAAAAAGAUGAUUGAUGUUGAUGGCUUUAAUGCAACAACAUGGAGACAUCAAGUGGAGUUACAGCUACUUGUGAAGUAGCUUGAAAUUUCUAUAAUGAAAGGUGGUGAGUAGACAUUAAUUUGGAUUUUUAACAAGUUUCAACAAAAUUCAGUGUAUAUUUAAGUAUUAUAAAAGAAUACAGUAUAGUGGUUAAGAGGUAAGAUCCUAGAAUCGAAUUGCCUGCGUCACCAUUUAUUAUUAUCCUUGGAAUUUGGG